CCUACGGGAGGCAGCAGUGAGGAAUAUUGGUCAAUGGCCGUAAGGCUGAACCAGCCAAGUCGCGUGAAGGAAGAAGGAUCUAUGGUUUGUAAACUUCUUUUAUAGGGGAAUAAAGGUAUCCACGUGUGGAUCUUUGCAUGUACCCUAUGAAUAAGCAUAGGCUAACUCCGUGCCAGCAGCCGCGGUAAUACGGAGGAUGCGAGCGUUAUCCGGAUUUAUGGGGUUUAAAGGGUGCGUAGGUUGUUUUUUAAGUCAGCGGUGAAAGUUUGUGGCUCAACCAUAAAAUUGCCGUUGAAACUGGAAGACUUGAGUGUGUUUGAGGUAGGCGGAAUGCGUGGUGUAGCGGUGAAAUGCAUAGAUAUCACGCAGAACUCCGAUUGCGAAGGCAGCUUACCAAGCUACGUCUGACGUUGAGGCACGAAAGCGUGGGGAGCAAACAGGAUUAGAUACCCUUGUAGUC
rnacentral:rRNA from 1 species